GCUGAAACUUACACAAGUAAAAGCUGCAAAAUCCUUUUAGGGGUUAGAGCCUUGGAGGCAUUCCUUCUUCUUCUUCUUCUAAAUACAGAAGGCUUGAACAUAAUGCCUAAGCUAAGGCUCAAUUUGGGUGUAAUACAAGUAGGAUUUUUCUUCUAUUGUAUAAGUACUAGUAGAAUAUACAAAAGAUGUAUGACCAACAAAAGAAUUAAGGUUUAGUUCCUUCUUGGCCGUAAUGCGUGCCAAAUAUAUAUGCACUGAUACGAGCAUUCCUCUGUUACCUGCCUUUUCCCGAAAUACCACCAACUGAGAGUUUUGAAAGAAUGAAUAUACAAGCUGAGGAAACCAGUACAGAUCCUGCAAAACAGGCAAGAUCCAAACUCGUAACUAGAGGUAUGUUCUUGAAUUUCUCCAAGAAUCCCACUUGCAGUAUCAUCAUUGCAGCAUGCCCAAUUCUAGACUUGGCUUGUGUAACUGACUCCAUCUGCAUCCAUGUUGGAAGAGACUUCAAAUAGAAUAGCCCAAAAAAGUUUGAUCCUGGCAGCCAUGGCCUUUCGUCUUUUGAAUUCUUUGGUCCCACAAAGAUGACAUACAACCCAACCCCAAACAUAAGCAUGGCUGUCCGUACCAAGAACAUGUCAAUGGCUUCUAUAAGUAGCUGCACCAAAUGUCCUUGAUCAAAACUAUGAGAUAACGUAUUAAAAUAGUGAAAGUAUGACUUUAGAAUGAGAAAGCAACCCUCCAGAAAACACAAUACUGAACCUAGCAAGGAUCCCGCAAUG
rnacentral:misc_RNA from 1 species